rnacentral:misc_RNA from 1 species
UACGGACUCUUGGACGGUCUUGGUAUUACUCUUCAAAAAGAGGCAAAUUUAUAAAUAUAACCGGCAACAUUUCGGUAAUUUUUGGUGUUAAUUGCGAGGAUGGCACUGAAUAAAUUAGCCGUGGACCAGCUUGAAUUAAAAGAUAAACGAGUACUCAUCAGAGUUGAUUUCAAUGUGCCAUUGAAGGAAGGGAAAAUAACAAACACCCAGAGAAUUAAAGCGGCUGUGCCAACAAUUAAGUAUGUGCUUGACAAAGAAGCCAAAUCUGUGGUGCUGAUGAGCCAUUUAGGUAGACCAGAUGGGCGGAAACAGGACAAAUACUCCAUGAAACCUGUAACAGCAGAGUUAGAGAAAGAGCUAGGAAGAUCAGUGCAAUUCCUAUCAGACUGUGUUGGUACUGAUGUGGAAGCUGCCUGUGCUGACCCAGCUCCAGGCUCUGUCAUUCUCUUGGAGAACCUCCGAUUUCAUGUUGAAGAAGAGGGUAAGGGACUGGAUGCCGAAGGAAAGAAGGUGAAAGCUUCUGCAGAGAAUGUGGAGAAAUUCAGAGCCUCUCUGUCUAAACUUGGUGAUGUAUAUGUCAAUGAUGCAUUUGGUACAGCUCACAGAGCACACAGUUCAAUGGUUGGAUGUCAGUUACCCCAAAAAGCAUCAGGAUUUCUAUUGAAGAAGGAGUUGACUUACUUCUCUAAAGCACUGGAUAAGCCCACAAAACCAUUCCUAGCAAUACUUGGAGGAGCCAAGGUAGCAGAUAAGAUUCAGUUAAUUGAGAAUUUGUUGGACAAGGUUGAUGAAAUGAUAAUUGGAGGAGGAAUGGCAUUUACUUUCCUUAAAGUACUUCAUGGCAUGAAGAUUGGAAAUUCCUUGUAUGAUGAGGAGGGAUCUAAAAUUGUAAAUACAUUGAUAGAAAAGGCAAAGAAAAAAGGAAUUAAAAUCCAUCUGCCAACAGACUUUGUUACCGGAAAUAAGUUUGCUGAUGAUGCUGAUGUAGGCCAGGCAACUGUUUCCUCUGGCAUUCCUGAUGGUGCAAUGGGUCUUGAUGUUGGACCAGAAUCUGUCAAGUCAUUUACAGAAGUUGUAUCUAGAGCAAAAACAAUUGUCUGGAAUGGGUGGAGGGGAUACUGCCACAUGCUGUGCUAAAUAUGAUACUGAGGAUAAAGUAAGCCAUGUCAGCACUGGAGGUGGAGCUAGUCUUGAAUUAUUAGAAGGUAAAACUUUACCAGGUGUUGCAGCGCUGUCUCCAGCCCAAUAAACCUUUGGGUGUUUGCCACAAGAAUGAUUACUCUGUCGUAACCCUUUGAUGUGGAAGUACUUUUCAAUGGCAGGCACUGGUUACACACAGUUUCUUCAAUUUCUGUUGUGCAUUCUGUAUAUAUGAUCAUGAUUUAUGAUUUUCAGGUCUCUAAAAGAAAUAUUUUUAAAAUGGUGUAACUAAAAUGAGUGUAAAAUAUGUGCAGUUUAAAGGUAAAGGAUAUAAGGAUUUUUAUCCUAAUUGAAGCAUAUAGACACGAAGAAAACAAGACAAACUUUCCACAUUUUCUAACUGAUCAGUAAAUCAGCAUUGAAUUAAUCAGUUAAAUUGAUUUUUUUAUGUUACAGAAAAGGGAUAGAAAAGUAAAUUUGGAAAAUUGGUUACUGUUACCUUCCAUGAACAGCAGUUAUGAAUGUGGCUUUACUUUCAGUGAUAAUGAGCUCGACUAUUCGAAGAAUAGGGGAGCUAUCCUACUCGCCCUGGCCUUGGCGUGAGCGUCACACAGAUG